rnacentral:rRNA from 3 species
UCGUCACACUAUCAUUAACUGAAUCCAUAGGUUAAUGAGGCGAACCGGGGGAACUGAAACAUCUAAGUACCCCGAGGAAAAGAAAUCAACCGAGAUUCCCCCAGUAGCGGCGAGCGAACGGGGAGGAGCCCAGAGCCUGAAUCAGCAUGUGUGUUAGUGGAAGCGUCUGGAAAGGCGCGCGAUACAGGGUGACAGCCCCGUACACAAAAGCGCAUGUGCUGUGAGCUCGAUGAGUAGGGCGGGACACGUGGUAUCCUGUCUGAAUAUGGGGGGACCAUCCUCCAAGGCUAAAUACUCCUGACUGACCGAUAGUGAACCAGUACCGUGAGGGAAAGGCGAAAAGAACCCCGGCGAGGGGAGUGAAAAAGAACCUGAAACCGUGUACGUACAAGCAGUGGGAGCCCCACCACCAAAGCAUUUGCUGUACCGCGUUGACGGAGCGAAGCGACGUCAAACCGAUAAAACAGCAGUGUAAAGUGAGCCGCAGGGCGCUUUGCGCGACAGCGCAAAGGCAGGCGGUUUCGCGUAGCGAAAGCGAAUGCUUUGGGGUGG